AGAAAAUGGUAAGUUUUUGAUCAAUAUUUUGGCACUACUGCAGAAAGCAGUUAACAAUGUUAAAUCCUCCCUUCUGAAGGCUGGAAGAAAUGAAGAUAAUGCCCCCAAGUGUUUGACGAAGUCCAUAAACCCUUAGUAAUAACCAAAAAACUUCCAUUUCUCUUAUAGGGGAUCAUCGUCUUGCUCUUCUUUUAUCUCAGUUUGUGGGUAGCCAGUCAGUCCGGGAGCUGCUCACCAUGCAGUUGGUGGACUGGCAUCAGCUCCAAGCAGACUCCUUCAUCCAGGAUGAGAGACUGCGCAUCUUUGCUCUGUUGGCUGGAAAACCGGUAUCUUCUACUUUUACCAUAAUAUCUCACAUUGGUUUUUUCAUAAAUUGAAGCUGGUUUGAGGUUGAGGCAAGGAGUGAUCUUUGUAAAUUGUGCACAGUUACACAAAAUGUUUUACACAUUGGACAAUUUUCAAAUUAUAAAGGCAGGCAUGCACACUUUUAAAAAUCUAGUUGUAUAGAAAUUAAAAUGUUAAAAUGUAUCAUAUCCCAUAUCAUAUAGUGGUAAACAAUAUAAAUAAUUUUAUCUUCACAGAAAUAUUCUAGUUUAGUUAAUUAAUUUUUUUGAGAUAGGGUCUGGCUCUGUUGCCUAGGCAGGAGUACAGUGGGGUGAUCUUGGCUCACUGCAUCCUCCAUCUCCUAAGUUCAAGUGAUCCUCUCACCUGAGCCUCCCAAGUAGCUGGGACUACAGGCACACGCUACCAUACACAGCUAGUUUUUAAGUCUACAUCCACAUAUAUGUUGUUCCUAUUUACAUGUUUGUAUAUACAAAUGAAAUAAAUUAUACAUAGGAGUUCUGUGAUUUUUUUUAUUUAUAUUUUGUUCAUUUAAAAAAGAAUUUAUAGCAAUAGGGUCUCAGUAUGUUGCCUAGGCUUGUCUUGAACUCCUGGCCUAAAGGGAUCCUGUCACCUAUAGGUCUCCCAAAGUGUUGAGAUUACAGGCAUGAGCCACUGCAUCAGCCCUGCAGCAUUUUUUUUUUUUUUUCUCUUGAGACAGAGUCUCGCUCUGUUGCCCAGGUUGGAGUGCAGUGGCACGAUCUGGGCUUACUGCAAGCUCCGCCUCCCAAGUUCACCUCAUUCUUCUGCCUCAGCCUCCUGAGUAGCUGAGACUACAGGCACCUGCCACCACGCUGGGCUAAUUUUUUGUAUUUUAAGUAGAGACAGGGUUUCACCAUGUUAGCCAGGAUGGUCUCGGUCUCCUGACCUCAUGAUCUGCCUGCCUCAGCCUCCUGAAGUGCUGGGAUUACAAGCGUGAGCCACCGCGCCCGGCCCCCUGCAGCUUUUUUUUUUUUAAACCUACUGUAUGUGAAUAUUUUUUCAUGUCAUGAAGCGUUAUUUUUGUUGUUGUUGUUGUUUUUUGAGAUAGAGUUUCGCUCUUAUUGUCCAGGCUGGAUGAGCCGAGAUUGUCCCACUGCACUCCAGCCUGGGUGACAGAGUGAGACUGCCUCUC
rnacentral:lncRNA from 1 species